rnacentral:rRNA from 1 species
ACUCCUACGGGAGGCAGCAGUGGGGAAUAUUGCACAAUGGGCGCAAGCCUGAUGCAGCCAUGCCGCGUGUGUGAAGAAGGCCUUCGGUUGUAAAGCACUUUCAGUCGUGAGGAAGGCGGGUACGGUUAAUAGCGUAUUCGUUUGACGUUAGCGACAGAAGAAGCACCGGCUAACUCUGUGCCAGCAGCCGCGGUAAUACGGAGGGGUGCGAGCGUUAAUCGGAAUUACUGGGCGUAAAGCGCAUGCAGGUGGUUUGUUAAGUCAGAUGUGAAAGCCCGGGGGCUCAACCUCGGAAUAGCAUUUGAAACUGGCAGACUAGAGUACUGUAGAGGGGGUAGAAUUUCAGGUGUAGCGGUGAAAUGCGUAGAGAUCUGAAGGAAUACCGGUGGCGAAGGCGGCCCCCUGGACAGAUACUGACACUCAGAUGCGAAAGCGUGGGGAGCAAACAGGAUUAGAUACCCUGGUAGGACAGUG